rnacentral:rRNA from 1 species
AACGAACGCUGGCGGCAGGCUUAACACAUGCAAGUCGAACGCACCUUUCGGGAUGAGUGGCAGACGGGUGAGUAACGCGUGGGAAUCUACCCUUCUCUACGGGAUAGCUCCGGGACACUGGAAUUAAUACCGUAUACGUCCUGAGGGUGCAAGAUUUAUCGUGGAAGGAUGAGCCCGCGUUGGAUUAGCUAGUUGGUGGGGUAAAGGCCUACCAAGGCGACGAUCCAUAGCUGGUCUAAGAGGAUGAUCAGCCACAUUGGGACUGAGACACGGCGCAAACUCCUAGGGGAGGCAGCAGUGGGGAAUAUUGGACAAUGGGCGCAAGCCUGAUCCAGCCAGGCCGCGUGAGUGAUGAAGGCGCUAGGGUUGUAAAGCUCUUUCAGUGGGGACGAUAAUGACGGUACCCACAGAAGAAGCCCCGGCUAACUUCGUG